ensembl:lncRNA
GGGAUAUUGGAAUGGUGGCGAUGGUCGUGUGAAAUAGGCCGGCGGUCGAGAUGUGAGAGAUCCAGCUGCGUAUAUCUGCACGAGUGUAUCUAAGCGUGAGGCACAGCAUUACCGUGGGAAUUCAAGCGUGCUAAAGGUGCAGGUUUCGUGAGAAAAGAGGGCGACCAGAGGGAAAGAGACGGAACAUCAAAAUGCAAGAUCACAUCCAGCCUGUGGGCCUCGGCGUCAGGCGGGACGUGUUUCUGAGCAGAAGACAUCCGCCGCCGGCGGACGGGAAUGUAUGACGUAGAAGGAAAGGCGCUGAGCGGGGAAGCUACGCAUGCUUUGCAUUUCUUGAGGAGCGACACACAUCUUGAUAAAGCAUAUCAUCUUUAUAAAGUUU